CGCCUGCGCUCUGGGACGCCCCCGCCUCCCACACAGACUACCCAGCUGUAGGGCCCUCGAGCCGCCAGAUAUUUCAACAACUUAGAAGUUGUUUUACGCGGCCUGUGAUAACGGUAUCCGAUGCAGAGUAUGGUUGUAAAGAGAAAAUGAAUUUAACACCUGGAAUAGUGCCUGGCACACAGAAGAACCUGCACAGUGCCUGGCACAGAAUCUUCAUAAAUAUGGGCUGGAGGAUGAUGGAAUGUCAUGCUUUGGAGAGGGCCAGAAGGAAGGUUCCAGUACCACCUCCUGCCCUUCCCCCACACGUUUCCUGGGGUUUUGAGAGGAACCCUGAGCCAAAGCUCUUAGGGCAUCCAGUUCCAAAGAAGUUUCAGGAGGCAAUCCAUGGGGCUAGGGAAUAAAAUAAACUGUAUUUUAUUUUAUUGAUAUAUUUUUGUUUGCAAAAUCUCAACGUUCAAACCACACAAUAAAUGGGUUGACAGCGGUACAUGUACAUGAUUUAUAAUUAUACAAAUAUAUGGGAGGGAUACAUCUUUUUUUUUUUUUAAGAUUUUAUUUAUUUAUUUGACAGAGAGAGACACAGCAAGAGAGGGAACACAAGCAGAGAGAGAGGGAGAAGCAGGCUUCCCACCAAUCAGGGAGCCUGAUGUGGAGCUCAAUCCCAAGACCCUGG
rnacentral:lncRNA from 1 species